AACCCAUGCAUCGAACAUCACUAAAUUAACUUCUUAAAUCAUUCCCAAACUUCAUAUAACGUUUCGUCCUCUAUUUUCCAAAAAGAUGUGAUGUCAUUUCUAAGUUU
rfam:Gossypium arboreum cultivar AKA8401 contig_92734_1, whole genome shotgun sequence.